ensembl:lncRNA
GACUCAUGACCCCUUUUUAUUAGACAUACUUAAGAGGGUCAUGGAUCUUAACUCAGGGAUAAAGGAGAUGUAUUAUUUUCCUAAUUUGCAGGUUGUGAGACCACAGGGGAUUCUUAAAAUUUGAUUGAUGAUCAGUCACUCAAAUCAAAUGAGAUAUGGCAAUAAAAUAGUUUAAAAAAAAUCUAGAGCAAGAUCUGAUUAACUAUAGGAUUUUUCAGACUUGCUGUUAAUUUUUAAAUUUUUUUUAUUUUUUGUUUUUUUAGGGCCGCACCCGAGGCAUGUGGUAAUUCCCAGGCUAGGGGUCUCAUCGGAGCUGCAGCUGCCGGCCUACGCCACAGCCACAGCAAUGCCAGAUCUGAGCUGCAUCUGUGACCUACACCACAGCUCAUGGCAACGGUGGCUUCUUAACCCACUGAGCAAGGCCAGGGAUCGAACCCGCAACCUCAUGGUUCCUAGUCAGGUUCAUUUCCGCUGCGCCACCAUGGGAACUCCUGUUGUUUAUUUUAAAAUAAUUGUUUUCCUUGCCAGCUAAUGAUUUCUUUCUGGGCAGAGAAUUGGCCAGGUUUUUGUACUAGUGGCCAUCUCUUGCUGUUGAGUAAAGGAUUCUAUGGUUCUGAUCUCUUUUUUGGGGGAAAAUAUAUAUAUUAUAUAUAUAUGCGGAAAAUAUGGAGGAGUUCAGGUAUUUUUGCGUAAAGACGGCAUGGUAAUCAAAAAGUUCUCUCUCAAAGGUAAAAUUGGUGGUACUUACAAUGAGAAAUUAUCCUGAAAAUUUCUCUCCAAUCAGUAAAAUUGUACUGAAAAAACAGAAUCACUCUAUACCUCAAGAAACCUGAUUUACAACUGAAAUCCUGGGCCAAUGUGUAAUGAAAGGCAACGUGUCUUCACAGCAUACUUGUUAGAUGCCAUGUGCCUUUGUAAAGUAACUGAAUUCACUGUUUGCUUUCGUAUGUAUUUGUUUCUCAUCUUUCUCAUUUGAUCACAUCUGAUCCUCCUAACAACAAUAUUAUCCCAAUUUUACAGAUGAGAGUGUAAACCGUGAACUUCCCAAGACCAAAUAGUAGCCAGUCACAGAAUAAGCCAAGAAGCCCGUUCUUCUGGCUUCCCGUCCCGUGCCUCUCCCAGUAUUUUACAUGGCGUUUCUUUUCCUGCCGCUUAGAAUCUGCUGCUUAUCUAUUAUUUAUCCAUUAGAGCUGCCUUGUGGGAGGCACAGCGAGUAUUUGCCUUCUAGGAACUCGUCUAAUUGAGGAGAGAGAACUAGCUCACCUGAAACAACUGCAUGUGCUCAUUUUGUUGACUAAUUAAGUGCCAGGUCUUGGGGUAGCGUUAGCUAUGUGUUGGUCUCCAGGGAGGGAGGAACUCCUGGAGGUGGCAAUGGUUGGAGAAGCCCUUCGUGGAAGAAAAAGAAAUGUCGAUGGGCCUUGAAGGGGUCUAGGAUUGGAGUGCACAUUCCCUCUGUGGCACGGUGGGUUGGGUUGAGAAUCUGACUGCAACAGUUCCAGUUGGUGUGGAGGUGUGGGUUCCAUUCCCAGCCUUGGCACAGUGGGUUAAAGGAUCUGGCAUUGCUGUAACUGCGGCGUUCUUUUUUUUUUUUUCUCUAUUUUAGGCAUAUGGAGGUUCCAAGGCUAGGGGUCAAAUCAGAGCUAUAGCUGCCAGUCUCCGCCAUAAGCACAGCCAUAGCAAUGCAGAAUCCAAGCUGCAUCUGCAAUCUACACCACAGCUCACGGCAGUGCCGGAUCCUUAACCCACUGAGCAAGGCCAGGGAUCGAACCUGCGUCCUCAUGGAUCCUAGUCGUGUUCAUUAACUGCUGAGUCAUGAAGGGAACUCCCUUAAGGCAUUCUUGAAAUAUAACAAAUUAUCAUCUGUGCACUAGCUGGGUACCAUCCUCAAGAGGAUUGAGAAAAUAAUCAUGCAGAUAAUUUUCUAUAAAUCUUAGAAUUUUCUCAGAAUUAAGUGAAACGCUGGUUGAGGAAGGUUGUGGGUGAAACAAAACAAAAAUCCCAAUAUAGUAUUUGUACUAAAUAUGUAGUCAUCCUACGGCUCAAAAAUCAUGUACUAGUUUGAAAUGUAAUAAUUAUACAUUUUCAAAGAAGAAUUGAUUUCUGGCAUGUCCUUUACCCCCAGAUAUUUUCAUGUUAUAAUAAAUUGUGUUCACUUUCACUGAAAUGACUGCUUACUCGGUGCCUUUGAGAACCAUUGGACGCGAACUAUAGAUAAUACCACCCUACGUUCAGUUUUUAAAAUCCGGGAUAAUAGUGUGAACCCCACCAACAAAAGCCAAGAAGUUUGAAAAUGAUGUGUUUCAUUGCAGUCUGUAAAGAGUCCUGUUCUGCCUCCAUGCAUCUUUGUUUUCUUGCCUGACAGACUCCCCACCCCUUUAUUCAAGUGAUUAGUAGACAAGCUCUAAUUGUCAGGUUGAGAUGCCAACUAUGGAUCCCAUUGACUUCAUUCUCUCUAGGGCUUCCAGGAAGCCACAGCACAGGCAGUUUUUCCAAUAGCUCAUCUUGCUCAGUGGACAGAAGGGCUGCCAUCUUGGUUAUUUCACGGAGAAGCCCACGUGGGGCUGAAGUGGCAGUUUCUAGCUCAUCCCCUUCUCUUCUGCUUUCUCUGAUGCUCUGUUCCUGGUAGCAAACAUGAUAGGUCCUUACCCUGGUUAGUUCAUACUGGGCUAUAUUGGGGUCCUAAGGUUUGUGACCAUGAAGGGGUGAUGCGUCUUGUCUUUUUCAUGAAUGUCCAAAUCUAAGGUUGAUGGGCUUCUAGAGGCAUGUGAUUGGUAGUCAGAACAGCUGCCCUGGGGCACAUUUGGGGUACAUAUGGUGGCUGCUGUCCAAUUGGAAAGGAUGGAGAAGCAUGUGGAGAAGAGGUGUGACAGCAGUCAAUUAGAGGUGAGUCUUCAUCACUCUGUUUAGUGGGACAAAACUUGAAGAUCAGCUUCCAGAAGGGAGGGUUUCUACACUCUGAUGUCAACAUGUGUCAGUUAUUUGGCUUCCCUGGAGCUAGGUGUGUUUAUUCUCAUGUAUUUCCCACCUUUGCCUCGUUAGAGAAGGGCCCAGCCCUCCUACAGCAGGGCUCUGAGUGUAUCACUAACAUCCUUGGUGAUGACCUUGAAUGAGAGAGAAAAGGUUGAAUUCUGUAAAGAAGGCUAUGAAGAGGAAUUCCCACUGUGGCACAGUGAGCUAAUGAUCCGGCUUCUCUGUGGUGGCUCGGGUUUGAUCCCUGGCCCAAUGCAGUGGGUUAAGGAUCCUGUGUGCGGCAGCUGUGGCAUAGGUCGAAGCUCCAGCUUGGAUUUGAUCCCUGGCCCAGAAACUUCCAUGUGCCGUGAGCAUGGCUGAGAAAGGGGGAAAAAAAAGGCCAUGAAGGAGUUCCCUGGUGGCCUGGAGAUUAAAGACCCAGGGUUGUCAUUGCUAUGGCUCAGGUUGCUGCUGUGGUGACGGUUUGAUCCCAGAAUUUCUAACGUGCCAUGGGUAUGGCCAAAAAGAAAAAAGAAGAAAAAAGAAAAAAAA